rnacentral:lncRNA from 1 species
GCGACCGAUGAGUUGCACGAUUUACCAUGUGGUCCCGAUCGAAAGAUUAAUCACUACGUAUUUUGUAUCAUUGGAGGAAUGAGAUUUCACAUAAGAGAGUUUGAGAUGCAACGACUUAUUCAGAAUAGUGGAAUUGCUACAACAGGAUAUGAAGGAGAAGAAGAGAUUGAUUAUUAUGGUGUACUGGUAGAUAUCAUAGAACCGAAGUAUGCGUCU